rnacentral:rRNA from 1 species
AUUGAACGCUGGCGGCAGGCCUAAAACAUGCAAGUCGAACGAGUGGCGGAAGGGUGAGGAAUGUCUGGGGAAGUGGCUGAUGGAGGGGGAUAACUACGGGAAACGGUCGCUAAUAGCGCAUACCACGAGAUGUGCCAGGCUGGGAUGAGCUAGUAGGUGGGGUAACGGCUAACCUAGGAGAAGAGCCCUAGCUGGUCUGAGAGGCUGACCAGCCACACUGGAAAGGGGACACGGUGCAGACGCCUACGGGAGGCAGCCGGGGGGAAUUGUCACCAAUGGGCGAAAGCCUGAUGCAGCCAUGCCGCGUGUGUGAAGAAGGCCUGCGUGUUGUAAAGCACUUUCAGCGGGGAGGCGUUACCCGCAGAAUAAGCACCUGCUAACUCCGUGCCAGCAGCCGCGGUAAUUC